GACACACACACACCCCUUGACACACAGAUACACACACACACAUAUACACACUGUGUGUCAAGGUGUGUGUAUCUGUGUGCCAGUGUGUAUGUGUGUGUGAAUCUGUGUGUCAGAAACAUACACACACACAGUUACACAUUGACACAGAGAUACACACACUGGCACAUACAAACACAUAUUUACACACCUUGACACACACCGGCACAUACAGAAA